CACCGUAGAAUGCUACAACUUUGCCUUUCGUGCACAACAUUGCCUAUUUUUUUUGGACUACGAUGUCUAAUCUUUCCAUAAUAUUUUCUCAGUUUCUACCAUUUGGAUAUAAUUUUAUUUAAGUUGGCAACAUUAUCUUUAUUUUUUUAGAAUGGUAACAUUUAUAUUGUGCUAACAGUUGAGCAAAAAGGUCCGUACGGCGAAUGUGCAGAAUUUUAGUGCUCGACAACUUUUAGUGUUCCGGUGUGAAAAAAAGGUGUUUUUAAAAGAAAUAGGUACCCAGGACGUAUGAAGAUGGAAAAAGCUAAAAAACGAAGUAGGAGAAAAGUGGGUUCUCGAAGUUAUGCAGAUAAAAUUAAUAAUAAUAAUAAUUAA